UACGUAGGGCGCAAGCGUUGUCCGGAAUUAUUGGGCGUAAAGAGCUCGUAGGCGGUUUGUCGCGUCUGGUGUGAAAACUCGAGGCUCAACCUCGAGCUUGCAUCGGGUACGGGCAGACUAGAGUGCGGUAGGGGAGACUGGAAUUCCUGGUGUAGCGGUGGAAUGCGCAGAUAUCAGGAGGAACACCGAUGGCGAAGGCAGGUCUCUGGGCCGCAACUGACGCUGAGGAGCGAAAGCAUGGGGAGCGAAC
rnacentral:rRNA from 1 species